AAUGUGACGAGAAGAAAUUACAUAGUAUUGGUGGGCGCUUAUUGCAAUGGUUCAGUGAGAUGCAUAAAUUAGCAACUAUCGAUUCCGGAUUACCGCUGCACAGUAUGUUUUAUUAG
rnacentral:misc_RNA from 1 species